AGAUGCCAACCCAGAGAUAUAGAGUGAGGAGAAGGGAUUAGGGAAGCACCUACAUAUCUGUGGGAUGCUGAACCUGUUCAAGUCAUCCCUGACAUAGUCGCACCGCAGCAAACACGGCGACAACGUGCAAGGGAUGAUACCACCCAAGUACCAUCUGAUCAACCCGUUCCACCAGUGACGCAAACAGCAGAAUAACUGCAUAAGAUUCCUUCAACACAUCGAUCAGCUGACCAGAUAGCUGAUGCAAUGACAAGCCAGCUGAAAGAGUCAACUUACUGUCAAUAAAAGAGAAACGGUACCGUUAUCAACAAAUUGUUUGGCAAAUUUAUUAACAGAUGGGGAUUCUAAUGUGCAUACUGGCAGAAGAGACAUUAUCAACACAAAGACAACACAUAUUGCAGAAAGUCAACCAACUAAUCCAUCAUUUGUAUUGGCAUCACCACUUGUAACAAACCCUGAUAUGUUAGGCUACUCUGGAUAAGACACAAUUGGAAGUCCACACGCGUUAGGCAUUGACAGUUCCAAUAUGCGUAACACAGCUUCAUAUAUUUUAAAGAACACUUUUCUGCUUGGUUUAAAUGUUUAGGAG
rnacentral:lncRNA from 1 species